ACCAUUAACCAACUGUAACCCUUCACCUGUACUGAAUGAUCUCAUAAUUGUAUGAGAGCCUAUAUGUUAGAACUAGUAACAAGAAGAAGCCCUUCUCCAAAAUGUAAGCAUGAGCCAAAAUGAACUACUCAUUGGCAUUUAAAGUUAUAAACCUAUUGUAGCAACUUAACAAGAAAAACCUACAACUGCAAACGUCAACCUUACACCAGCACAUUUCUGGAAAGAUAAAAAGAAUAGGAAGGAACUCGGCAAAUAACUAACCCCGCCUGUUUACCAAAAACAUCGCCUCCUGAUCACCCAUAGGAGGUCCAGCCUGCCCAGUGACUAAGUUAAACGGCCGCGGUACCCUAACCGUGCAAAGGUAGCGCAAUCACUUGUUCUUUAAAUGAGGACUUGUAUGAACGGCAUCACGAGGGUUAUGCUGUCUCCCUACUCUACUCAGUGAAACUGAUCUCCCCGUGAAGAAGCGGGGAUGAAAAUAUAAGACGAGAAGACCCCAUGGAGCUUUAAACUCAGUACCAACUGCCCUAAUAAUAACCUAUUACCCUUGCAGCCAUGGUCACUAGUUUUUGGUUGGGGUGACCACGGAGUAAAAUUUAACCUCCAUGAUGAAAGGAACUAAUAUCCUAACCUACGAGCUACAGCUCUAAGUAUCAACAAAUUGACUAACUGACCCAAUUACUUGAUCAACGAACCAAGUUACCCUGGGGAUAACAGCGCAAUCCAUUUCAAGAGCUCAUAUCGACAAAUGGGUUUACGACCUCGAUGUUGGAUCAGGGUAUCCCAGUGGCGCAGCCGCUACUAAUGGUUC
rnacentral:rRNA from 1 species